AAAAUUUGGGUGGGUUAAAGUCGCAAGACGCUAAGGAAGUGGCCUGGGCACCAUCAGCUAGUUGGUAAGGUAAAAGCUUACCAAGGCUAUGACGGUUAGGGGCCCCGAGAGGGGAAACCUCCACACUGGAACUGAGACACGGUCCAGACUCCUACGGGAGGCAGCAGUUUGGAAUUUUGGACAAUGGGCGAAAGCCUGAUCCAGCGACGCCGCGUGGACGAUGAAGGUCUUCGGAUUGUAAAGUCCUUUUAUUAGGGAAGAAUAUUUUGACGGUACCUAAUGAAUAAGAGGUUGCUAACUCUGUGCCAGCAGCAGCGGUAAUACAGAGACCUCAAGCGUUAUCCGGAAUUAUUGGGCGUAAAGCGUGCCGACAGGUGGUUUUGUUAGCCAGUGGUGAAAUCUCCGAGCUCAACUCGGAAUCUGUCCAUUGGAACUGCAAAACUAGAGGGGCAAAGAGGAAGUUAGAACGAACGGUGUAGUAGUGAAAUGCGUUGAUAUCGUUCGGAAUACCAAUAGCGAAGGCAGACUUCUGGGUGCCACCUGACACUGCUAGGACGAAAGCGUGGGGAGCGAAUGGGAUUAGAUACCCCAGUAGUCCACGCUGUAAACGAUGUACAUUCGCUGCUAGGGAGUAUCGACCCUUCUUAGUAGCUAAGCUAACGCGUUAAAUGUACCGCCUGGGGAGUACGGUCGCAAGACUAAAACUCAAAGGAAUUGACGGGGACCCGCACAAGCGGUGGAGCAUGUGGUUUAAUUCGACGAUAAGCGAGGAACCUUACCAAGGCUUGACAUGUAGCUGCAUCUCUCAGAAAUGAGAGCGCCUUCGAGGGUGCUACACAGGUGCUGCACGGUUGUCGUCAGCUCGUGCCGUGAGGUGUUCACUUAAGUGUGAUAACGAGCGCAACCCCUAUUACCAGUUACAAGUGUCUGGUGAAACUGCCGGGAUUUAAG
rnacentral:rRNA from 1 species